rnacentral:tRNA from 1 species
GCCAUCAUAGCUCAGGGGUAGAGCACUUCAUUGGUAAUGAAGGGGUCGCAUGUUCGAUUCAUGCUGGUGGCACCA